AUCCCAUGGGCGCGUUGUCGGGUGCGAUCGAACACAACGGCGUCCCCUCUCCCCGCGCGCGGGGAGAGGGUUAGGGUG
rnacentral:sRNA from 1 species